GACGUAGGUGGCGAACGUUAUCCGGAAUUAUUGGGCGUAAAGGGUGCGUAGGCGGCAUGAUAAGUUAUUGGCGGGAAAUCGAGGCUCAACCUCGUGGAAACUAAUAAUACUGUUUGCUUGAGUACAGGAGAGGUUAACGGAACUCCAUGUGGAGCGGUAAAAUGUGUAGAUAUAUGGAAGAACAUCAAUAACGGCGAAGGCAGUUAACUAUUCUGUUACUGACGUUGAGGCACGAAAGCGUGGGAGCAAACGG
rnacentral:rRNA from 1 species